CCGCGACGAAGGGCGACCGGUCACGGAUGGGCAUGCGGCGCAUUAGGUAGUUGGUGGGGGCAACGGCCCACCAAGCCGACGAUGCGUAGGGGUUCUGAGAGGAAGGUCCCCCACAUUGGAACUGAGACACGGUCCAAACUCCUACGGGAGGCAGCAG
rnacentral:rRNA from 1 species